rnacentral:rRNA from 1 species
GGUCUUAUCGACCCGGGAGACAGUGUCAGGUGGGCAGUUUGACUGGGGCGGUCGCCUCCUAAAGUGUAACGGAGGCGCCCAAAGGUUCCCUCAGAAUGGUUGGAAAUCAUUCGUAGAGUGCAAAGGCAUAAGGGAGCUUGACUGCGAGACCUACAAGUCGAGCAGGGACGAAAGUCGGGCUUAGUGAUCCGGUGGUUCCGCAUGGAAGGGCCAUCGCUCAACGGAUAAAAGCUACCCCGGGGAUAACAGGCUUAUCUCCCCCAAGAGUCCACAUCGACGGGGAGGUUUGGCACCUCGAUGUCGGCUCAUCGCAUCCUGGGGCUGUAGUCGGUCCCAAGGGUUGGGCUGUUCGCCCAUUAAAGC